UAUCUUCUGCAUCUCUUCACCUGACAUGUAACUCUAAACUCAUAUCUCUUCACUUAUGUCUCUCUUCACUUGAUCUGUAACCCUAAAUUCAUCUUUUUUUUCUCUCUCUCUUCGCCUCUCGUCACCUCCCUUCGAUGAAACCCUAGCACUCUCUGCACUCGUCUCUCACCUUUCGCCGUCACCAUUCUGGUCCAUAACUCUCUCUGCACUCGUCUUCUUCUCCUUCGCUGAUUACUCUCUGUGAUGGCCACCCCUUGGGAAGAUCCCCAAAAUCUAAGGGAAUUAGAAAACCCGAUACUGUUCAUUUGUUUGAUUCGGCCUAACAAACGACGGAGCCCUGUGAAUCUCAGUCCAACGAAUCAUGGAUGGGUUCUUUGGAGGCGUGGGUUGAAGUGAAGUUGAUUGAAGAUAGAUGCAGAGAAGAGGCUCUCUGGGCUUUCGCUCAAGAAGGUAAACUUUCGAUUUAUAGCUGCCUUUGUCCUCUUCUGACGAACUCUGGAGUAUAACCAGUGUUCUCUUUUCCCCCCUAUAUGUGAUGCUAACUUUGAUUCCUUUCUAUUGUGUAAGGAAAAAUGGGUGGAUAUGUUCAUAAGUGACAGCAUGGCGGCAAUGUUGAAGACACUUCUACUUGCAUUUAUUGGGUGAGAUCUUCCCUUUUUUGGAUAGUCUAUUAUGUGGUUUUGUUUGAUAUGUAGGGUUUUCAUGCGAUUGUACUGUGGGAGAUUGUGUGUUGGGUCUGAAAUGAUAUGAUUGUACUCACUCUAUUAAAUUUUUCCGAAAACACAUCGAUAAGCACAUGUAUUAACUAUAUGAGAUGUUUAUUUUAUUUAAACUUGCUGGUUCC
rnacentral:lncRNA from 1 species